rnacentral:rRNA from 1 species
CUACGGGGUGCUCCAGUGAGGAAUAUUGCACAAUGGGGGGAACCCUGAUGCAGCAACGCCGCGUGGAGGAUGACGCAUUUCGGUGUGUAAACUCCUUUUAUAUGUCAAGAAAAUGACGGUAGCAUAUGAAUAAGCACCGGCUAACUCCGUGCCAGCAGCCGCGGUAAUACGGAGGGUGCAAGCGUUACUCGGAAUCACUGGGCGUAAAGGACGCGUAGGCGGGUUGGAAAGUGAGGUGUGAAAUCCUACAGCUUAACUGUAGAACUGCACUUGAAACUUCUAAUCUAGAGUAUGGGAGGGGGGGAUGGAAUUAGUGGUGUAGGGGUAAAAUCCGUAGAUAUCACUAGGAAUACCUAAAGCGAAGGCGAUCUCCUGGAACAUUACUGACGCUAAGGCGUGAAAGCGUGGGGAGCAAACAGGAUUAGAUACCCCAGUAGUC